UAUUAUUUUUUCAAGAUCUUUUACUCAUUUUUGCAGCACUGCACUAGCAACGCCAAGGUCGCGGGUUCGAUUCCUAUGAAUGCAUGAACGGAUCAGAUUUCACUUUAAAUGCAGUAUGUCAAUCUCAAAAGAGCUGAGAGCAUUACUGUGACAUUCAAAUAUAAAACAUGUAUGCACUGAUUUCCA